UUAUAUAUAUAUGUAUAUAAACAGAUGUACACAGAUAAGGAAAGAGAUAGACAAACGCACUGCUUUCGUUAUUAAGUUAAAUGUUCGGAUAGCAUGGAUUGAUUUUCUCAUGCAGCAUCAACAUUGUUACAUUUGAUUGAUAUUUUUACAUUUGUGAAACGCCAAAAAACGAAUCAACUAAACGACAAGAGCAAUGCAUGCAAAUUGCGGCACUUCAACACACAUACACACACACAACCCACACACACAUACGCACACGGUAUACCCAGAUAUUAAGAUUUAAAAUUGCGCUUAAAUAUGUAUAUGCAUUUCAUGUACACGAUUUGCAAGUGUGUGCGUGUGUGGGUGCUUUAGACACGACUUUGUCAAUUUUUUUCAAAUGUCUGUAAUGAAAAUGAAUUAAUUUUAAUGGAUUGCGUGACGUGAAGAGCACGUGAAUUUAGUUAGUUUCCUUUUGUAACUACGUAUAUUUGUUGAAUCUAAAUUUGUGAGUUUUAUUAUAAUUUUAAAUCGUUUAUUUUGUAUACGUUUAAGUUAUUUAGUUGGGACACAAAUGUACCUCAAUUGUGCUCAUUUUAGUUAUACGUUAUACAUUACGUACGUACGUAUUAUUAAUAUCUGUAUAUGCAUGCAUAUAUAUCUACACAUAUGUCUAUAUAUGAAUUGCUUUAUGUAUAAAUCCUUUUUCAUUGGCUUCCAUGCUGCAAAUGCAAACAAAUUUCAUUUAUGUACUAUAUUUGAUAUGAUUUUCGUUAAGGACAAAGUGUGCAUUGCAUUAAAAAUGCGUUAAAAAAAAAAAAAUAAAAAAAAAAAUAAAAAAUAAUAAAAA